rnacentral:lncRNA from 1 species
CUUUGAUUUUGCUUCAGGGUUAGGUUUGGGUUAAAUUAUUCCAAGUGAUUCCAAUUAAGCAAUCCUCAUGUGUAUCUCUUUAAGCUGUGACCAGGAAGAUCUAAGAAGGUUCUAUGGCAUUUUGGAACUUUUCUCCCUGACUUGAUUGUAUUUGAAGUUUUGCCAAAAUGAAAAAUCAAGACCUGUGCCUUGGGGCAGAGCUGUAGAGCUACGUCAUGACGCUUGGUUUUCAUUUAAGACAGGGAGGCCAUUCUGGAAAUCAAACUUUAAUUAAGCACACAGCUGGGAGUGGAUAGGGGUCAAAGCCUGGAACUUGCCCCUCCUCCUCAUACUACUAUCCCAGGUGAGAUGUAUUUUCCUGGUAUGAUCCCCAUUGCUGGCAUGCCUGAACCUUUCCCCAGAUAAUUUCAGAAAGUGGCCUGUGAUGCAUGUUCUAAGGGCAGUAACCAAGAAGCCUCAAGUUAUUUGGAUCAUAUUCAAAAGUCUGCGCAUUGAAAAUGGCUUUCUAGUUCUCUGAACUCAAUUAUUCUAACCCUUAGAAAGAUCUGAUGACGAAGUAAUGAAGACAAGGGGGAGACUACAAGAAGCAUUCUGUGGAACCUUACUACGCAAAAGGUAAGUGCUUCAACAGACCUUUGUGAAGGAAAGACAGAAUAUUUAUUAAUAGUGUUUUCAAUUGUGCCGUAAUAGGGAAGAAUUCUAUUUUCCUUUUUUUUUUAAAUUGACUCCUAUACUUAAAAAUGCAGCUUGAUUUUUUUCUUGUGUGUUAGUAAAGUUAAACAAACACCUAUUUCAGAUUUUUUUUUUUUUUUACUUGACUUGCAUUGUGUCACAUAUAUCCAUGCCAGGUUAUAACCUCAAAUUCUC